rnacentral:rRNA from 1 species
UACGUAGGGGGCAAGCGUUGUCCGGAUUUAUUGGGCGUAAAGAGCGUGUAGGCGGUUUGGUAGGUCCGUUGUGAAACUCGAGGCUCAACCUCGAGACGCCGAUGGAAACCAUCAGACUAGAGUCCGGAAGAGGAGAGUGGAAUUCCUGGUGUAGCGGUGAAAUGCGCAGAUAUCAGGAAGAACACCCGUGGCUAAGGCGGCUCUCUGGGACGGUACUGACGCUGAGACGCGAAAGCGUGGGGAGCGAACAGG